rnacentral:piRNA from 1 species
UGGUGGACUUGGCUGGACCAGUGGGC